rnacentral:rRNA from 1 species
UGGACCUCAGCUCAGGAGUGACUACCCGCUGAAUUAAGCAUAUCAUA